CUGAUCCAAUACCAUUGCUCCGCGCGUGCUGCAACCGUACGAUCUAUUCUCUCCCGUUCAACCUUCCUUCAUAUUCAACCAUAACACCUCAAAACCCUAACCCUAACCCUAAUCCCAAUCAUGGUAACCGAUUCCCACGACUCUCGUCGCAAGCAUCGCCGAUCCUCCUCUCCCGAAGACGCCGAUAGAUCCUCCAAGCGCCACAAGCACCGCCACCAUAGCCACCGCCAUCGCCACUCCACCAAGAAACGCGAUGAAGACACCGAAUACGAUCGCGGAACUCUUGCUAGGAUUCCUUCUCCAGCUCCUGUUUCUAACUCUGCUCCGUAUAGCUCUCUCCCUGACGACGACGUCGAGGAGGGAGAGAUUCUCGAAGAAGGUGAGAUUGGAAAAAAGCAGACAGAAUCUGAUGCAGAGCCUGGUGAAAUUGAGCUGUCAGGAAAUCGAGAUUCUCGAUCCGAUAACAAAAUUCCGGGACCUGUCACAAAAAAUUCAAAAACUGGAAAGGAGGACAGAAGUCAUGGUAAAUAUGUUAGUCCUGCAUUGGAUAUUGCAGACAAGCACCCUGGACUUCAUGAUGACUAUGAUUCUCCUAACCAGUCGAGCCCUGAGCUUAAAGGUGGAAAGAAUGCUAGAGAUUCUAAAGAUGGUUUGGGUAAUGGGUAUUUGAACCCUAAAUCAUCCAAAGAAGAUAAGAAGCAGAAUGAGGGCCCUGGACAAUUGAGAGGAAAUGAGAAACUAAAAGGUGACUAUGAAGAGAAAGAGAUACAGGCAAAUGGAAUGAAACAUAAUUACCAUACAAAUUCAUCAUCUGAUAGUGAAGGUGAAAAAUAUAGAAUGUUAAGAAGUUCUCCUUCUCAUGAUAGAUGUAGAAGUCGAUCAAGAUCAAGUGGUCAUCCUAGGGACAGAUCUCGUUCUCGUAGUAUAGCAGAUGAAUAUGCUCAUUCCAAGAAAAGGCACUCUAGGGAUCAAGGGCCCCUUCAUCAUAGUGGCAGAGAUAAGACUGACUAUGAGCAUGAUGAGGAAGGAAUGAGAGCACGUGGAAGGGAGCAUGGUCAUGGCAAUGCAGACUUGUUGGUAGAUGAUAGGAGGGGACGUAGUUCCAGGUAUCGUAGUCGAGAGUCCCAGGAUCGCAGUAGGGACAGUCAUGUGGAUAGGGAUUUAUACAGGGAAAAGAAACGAGACGAAGCAAGCAGGAAUAGAGAGGUUGAUUGGGUGCGUAAAACAGAAAAGGAACGUGAAAGGAGCUAUGAGAGGGAUAGAAGGGACACAAUAAAAGACAGAAGUAGGGAAAGGGAGGAGGAUAGGGAUAGGAGACGAGAAAAGGAGAGAGGCAGGAGCAGGGAAACAGAUUUUGAGAGGGAUAGAAGAAGGGGAAAGGAAAGGGACAGGAGUAGGGAUAAUACAAGGGGUGGUGAGAGAGGAAGAGAUUGGGAUAGUGAAAGGGAUGAUAAGAAUCGGGAAAGAGAUCACAUUAAGGAGAGGGAGAGGCGAGAUGAUAGAUAUAGGCACACUGAUAAAGACACCGCAUAUAAUAAGGAUAAGCAUUUGCGUCAUGAGGAUGGUGAAGACAUUCGAGACAGAUAUAGAAAACAUUCAAGACACGAAGAAACUGAAUAUCAUUGGGAGAGAAACAGGAAUUCUGAUUCUGUAAAAUUUUAUAAUUCUGCAAGAAGUGCCAUGGAAGAGAAUGAAAGCAAGCUAGAAAGAGGUGAGGUUGAACAAGAUUACUUAGAUGAGGAUACUCUGCAAUUACCAGAGCAAGAAGAGGAAGAUCUGAAUAGGAUUAAGGAGGAAAGUAGACGGAGAAGGGAAGCAAUAAUGGAGAAAUACAAGAAGCAGCAUCAGCAAGAAGAACAGGCAGCUGAAAAUGAAGGAAAAGACAAGGAAUCCGUGGACAUUCCUACUGAUGUUCCUGAAGCACAUGAUGGCAAGAAUGAUGGUAUUGAUGAUGUAGAAACAUCAUUUGCUGUUGGGAAAUCUACUCCUGAAAAUUUGAAUGGUGCUUCUAAGAAGAUAUCUGGUGCUGGUGGCCUGGGUGAGGGUACUCCUAAGAGUGAAAGAUCAGACGACAUGUUUUGUGAUGAUAUAUUUGGUGAGACACCAACUGGAGUUCGGAAAUCAGGAAAAGGGGAUGGUAUACUGAUUGAAAGGGUUGGCCUACAUGACAAUUGGGAUGACGCAGAGGGGUAUUACAGCUAUCGUUUUGGUGAAAUACUUGAUGGCCGAUACGAAGUCACUGCUGCACAUGGGAGGGGUGUUUUUUCAACAGUGGUUCGGGCAAAGAAUCUCAAGACUGGUAAUGGUGAGCCAGAUGAAGUUGCUAUAAAAAUCAUUCGUAAUAAUGACACCAUGUACAAGGCUGGUAUGGACGAGUUGGUCAUACUGAAGAAAUUAGUAGGUGCAGAUCCAGAUGAUAAGCGUCAUUGUGUUCGUUUCCUUUCAAGUUUUAAGUACAGGAAUCACCUUUGUUUAGUUUUUGAAUCUCUUAAUAUGAAUCUGCGUGAAGUAUUAAAGAAGUUUGGUCGCAAUAUUGGCCUUAGGCUAACAGCUGUGAGAGCAUAUGCAAAGCAACUAUUUAUUGCUCUGAAGCAUCUUCGGAACUGUGGUGUUCUUCAUUGUGAUAUAAAGCCUGAUAAUAUGUUGGUGAACGAGGCUAAAAAUGUCUUGAAGCUUUGCGACUUUGGUAAUGCUAUGUUUGCUGGUAAGAAUGAAGUCACACCAUAUCUUGUCAGUCGGUUUUAUCGGGCCCCUGAAAUAAUUCUUGGCUUGCAAUAUGAUCAUCCGUUGGAUAUUUGGUCAGUAGGCUGUUGUUUGUAUGAGCUCUAUACAGGGAAAGUUCUUUUUCCAGGUCUUACAAACAAUGACAUGCUUAGGCUUCACAUGGAAUUAAAGGGUCCUUUUCCAAAGAAGAUGCUGCGUAAGGGAGCAUUCACUGACCAACAUUUUGAUCAGGACCUGACUUUUCUUGCUACUGAAGAGGAUCCUGUGACAAAAAAGACGAUAAAGCGGAUGAUUCUCAACAUAAAACCAAAAGAUAUUGGAACAAUCAUCACAGGCUCUCCUGGAGAGGAUCCAAAGAUGUUAGCCAACUUCAAGGAUCUCAUGGAUAAAAUUUUUAUCUUGGACCCAGACAAGAGGUUGACGGUAUCACAAGCACUGAACCACCCGUUUAUCACUGGCAAGUGAACAGUGUGCUGCUUUUGACUCCCCGAAGUGAUGUUCACUGAUAUUUGUACAUAGUGAUCUGAUUUAAUUCACAUUGGGGUUCUAAUCAUUUGGCAUUAUUUAUCUGUUCCGUACUGACCAAGGAGUGUCAUCACGAAUAUUGGCUUUUUGAAGUGAAAAGAGUGAUAUCUGGUCAGGCGUACACUAUACUGGCGGUUCUUUCACUGGAAUGUACUGUUUCCUAUUGAGGCCUAUCAGUGGUCUGAGGCAUCCCUCCCGUGCCUAGAUGCUUAAAGGGAACCCAGGAGAAGGUACCUUGGUUUGUUUAUUGGGAGAUUAAUUUCACCUCUCUAGAAUAGAUUGUUAUUUCUAUUAUAAUUUAUUAUCAGCUUCAAUGGAAUAGCAUGAAUGAUUGUUUUGGUUCUGAGGAACAUCAACGGUUUUAGUUGCCUAUAAGCACAUUGAAACAUGUGAUUUUAUUUCGUUUUGAAAAUAUAGGUAUGUUAAUGAGGGGAAGGGGAGUGGUUAGUGUUGCAUCUUCAUCCAUUAAAGUGAUGCAGGUUCCAUUAAACCAAAUGCCUAAAUACCAUACCCUUUCAAAUGAUUGUAAGACUCCUAAGUGACAGAAUAACUUCCUUUAUUUUCCGCCUCUUUGAUCUUCCAAGUUUCAGCCAUUAGCUACACACAAUUUUAGUUCUUGAAUUUUACUCGAUCAUCUCUUUCAAUCUACUACCUUGUAUUCUUUUCUGAGAUUUUGUUAAAUGCAUAUCCUAAUGAAAUUGUCUUGCAUCUUAUCCAUGAUGGCUUAUCCAUGAUGGCUGCUCAUUUUGUUGGAGGAAUUUUCACUGGAGAUGUUUGGCUGUGUUCUUGAAGCAAAUUCAUAUAUCUGUGCUGUGUCUUGGUCCUUCAAUUUUGUAAGUAUAUUUAAGUCCAAUUCCUUUAUGAUCUAUGUCGGCAGUGAUGAGAUUGAUGGGUCUUCUGGUUUCCAGUUCCGUAUGAUGAAUACUCUCAAUCCUUGAUUCUCAUUUUGGAAGUUAAUAUUUCACGUGCUUGCAAUUAGGUUUGUUAAGGUGGAUGUUGGUGGUAUUUAAUAGCAUUUUCUGUAAAGUUUUUCUGUGGGUGUGUUGUUUGUUCUUGCUUAGUAUGGUGUUUUUGGGCUUGCCUUUUGCCUUUCUCUUCUAUGCUGUCCUAAGCCCCCAACAAUAACUUCACUUCAGAUCAGUCUCAUUAUUUAAGUAUAAUUUGGAAAUAGGGAUUUCCUUUUUCUA